AGUUUUUUUUUAGUGUAGCUGACGAGACGCUGCUGAAGAAGAAAGCCGCUGGUUGUGUUGGCAAAAAUAGGGUAAAAUCGGAUAGAGGUAUGCAGAAGAAAUAAGGGAAAAUGUCCGUAUAUGGAGCCGUUUUCCAUUUGACGCAGGAUACAGCAAACUGACUUGACCCCAUCGGACAUAGCUACAGCAAAAUCAGUUUCCUGUGUGCGGACUCUCUGAGUGGCUGUUCUCUCGCUCCAAGAACAGCUGUCACCCAGUCCCUUCUGAGAGUGAGUGAGCGUGAAGAGAGCUCAACAAUUUCACAUGAAUCAAGCGCUCACUUACUCCAGUUGAAGCCGGAACAGAGAGACACGUCAGCACAAACUCACAGAUCUGCUGUCAAAAUCUCUCACACACACACUAGGCAAAGCUACAUCCUCACAUUUCAGACACUGCACCUCUUCAUUCCCACCAUCAAUACGUUCACUCCUCUGCUUCAGUGAACAUGUACGGCAGCUCCCGUUCCGUGGGCAGAGCGGAUGCCAACCACAGCGGAGGGAGAGAUGGGGGGAGCAGCCAGGGUUCGGGUCGCUCCCCUCAUCUCCCCCGUUCCCCACGGAUGGGCCACCGUCGCACCAACAGCACGGGGGGCAGUGGAGGGGGUCCAGGCGGAGCGGGGGGUAAGACCCUCUCCAUGGAGAACAUCCAGUCCCUCAAUGCCGCCUAUGCCACCUCAGGACCCAUGUACCUGAGCGACAACGAGGUUGCCAUGUCCGACCACGUUAACAAGAGUGGUCGAGAGAUGACCACAAUGGGUCGACAGAGGGUGACCUACGGGUCAAGAGCAAGCGCAGGAGGGGGUGGAGGGGUGGCAGCUAGCACUCCCAACAUCGCCACAUCUGCCCAGGCCAACGCUGUGCUCCCUGGGGGAAUGAUGGCAGGUGACGCCCUGGCUUUUGGGGAUCACCACAUGGCCUCCACGGUCCCUCACUCCCUGAGACAGGCCCGGGACAACACCAUACUGGACCUGCAGGCCCAACUCAAAGAGGUUCUGCGUGAGAACGAGUUGCUGCGUCGUGAGGUGGAGAUUAAGGAGAGCAAGCUGAGUUCCUCCAUGAACUCCAUCAAGACUUUCUGGAGCCCUGAGCUGAAGAAGGAGAGAGCCCUAAGGAAGGACGAGGUGUCCAAGAUCACUGUCUGGAAGGAACAGUACCGCGUGGUGCAGGAUGAGACCCAGCACCUCCAUAUGACGGUCCAGGCCUUGCAGGAUGAACUGAGGAUACAGAGAGACCUGAACCAGCUGCUUCAGCAGGACCCUGCCAGCCAAGGUCGUGACCUGGCCCUGACCUCUGAACCCACGGAGGAGAACUACCGUCGGCUGCACGGGGACCACGAGCGUCAGGCCAAGGAGCUGUUCCUGCUCAGAAAGACCCUGGAGGAGAUGGAGCUGAGGAUAGACACCCAGAAACAGACCCUGGGCGCCAGGGAUGAGUCCAUCAAGAAGCUACUGGAGAUGCUGCAAAGCAAAGGGCCGUCGGCUAAGUCGUCAGAGGAAGACCAGGAGAGAACCAGGAGACUGGCUGAUGCUGAGAUGCACAGACACCAUCUAGAGUCCCUACUGGACCAGAGAGACAGGGAGACUACUGCUCUACGAGAGGAGCUGCACCGUCGAUACGAGGGAACCCCAGAGUCCACAAAAACCAAGGCUCUACAGACUGUCAUCGACAUGAAGGAUGCUAAGAUCAACUCUCUGGAGCGAGGUCUGAGGGACAUGGAGGAGGAGGUGAUUAUGUUGAAGUCCAAUGGCCUGCUGAGCUGUGAGGAGAGACAAGAGGAGAUGAAACAGAUGGAAGUCUACCGCAGCCACACCAAGUUUAUGAAGAACAAGAUGGACCAGGUGAAGCAGGACUUGUCCAGGAAGGACACAGAGUUGCUGGGUUUGCAGACCAAGCUGGAGACUUUGACCAACCAGUUCUCUGAUAGCAAGCAGCACAUCGAGGUCCUCAAGGAGUCGCUGACCGCUAAAGAACAACGAGCUGCCAUCCUACAGACAGAGGUGGAUGCUUUGCGUCUGCGUCUGGAGGAGAAGGAGACCACACUGAACAAGAAGAGUAAACAGAUCCAGGAGAUGUCUGAGGAGAAGGGCACGCUCAACGGAGAGAUCCACGACCUCAAGGACAUGCUGGAGGUCAAGGAGCGCAAGGUCAACGUCCUGCAGAAGAAGAUUGAGAACCUGCAGGAGCAGCUGAGAGACAAGGAGAAGCAAAUGAGCAACCUGAAGGAGAGAGUCAAGUCUCUACAGGCAGACACCUCUAACACAGACACUGCUCUCACCACACUGGAGGAGUCCCUUGCUGAGAAGGAGCGUAUCAUCGAGCGUCUGAAGGAGCAGAGAGACCGAGACGACAGGGAGAAGACUGAGGAGAUCGACAGCAACAAGAAAGAGCUGAAGGAUCUGAAGGAGAAAGUCAGUCUGCUGCAGGGAGAUCUGUCUGACAGAGAGACUAACCUGUUGGACCUGAAGGAGCAUGCGUCGUCCCUGGCUUCCUCAGGGCUGAAAAAAGACUCCAAGCUGAAGACUAUGGAGAUCUCUCUGGAGCAGAGGAAGGAGGCGUGUCUCAAACUGGAGAACCAGCUCAAGAGGGCCCAGAAUGCGACGUUGGAGGCCAAAGCGAACACAGAGCUGUCGGAGCGCAUCACCUCCCUGGAGAGGGAAGUUACCCGACACCGAGAGGAUUCUGGGAAGGCUCAGGCGGAGGUGGACCGACUGCUGGAGAUCCUGAGAGAGAUGGAGAAUGAGAAGAAUGACAAGGACCGCAAGAUCAAUGAGCUGGAGAGUCAGUCCACCAGACAGACCAAGGACCAGAGUAAGAAGGUGGCAUCACUGAAACAAAAGGAGCAUGUGGAGAAGAGUAGGAACGCCCAACUUGUGGACGAAGCCAAAAAGAGAGAGGACAAUAUCUCCGAGAGCUCUCAACAGGUCAAGGACUCUCUACGGUUGAAGACGGAACGUAUCGAGGAGUUAGAGGAGGCUCUGCGAGAGAGUGUUCAGAUCACAGCGGAGAGAGAGAUGGUGCUGGCACAGGAGGAGGCUGCCAGGAACCACCAGGAAAAACAGAUUGAGGAGCUGCUGGGCGCCAUGGAGAAGGUGAAACAGGAGCUGGAGUCCAUGAGGGCCAAGCUGUCAUCUACCCAGCAGUCCCUGUGUGAGAAGGAGGCCCAUCUGACCACGCUGAGGGCUGAACGCAGGAAACACCUGGAGGAGGUGCUGGAGAUGAAACAGGAGGCGCUGCUGGCAGCCAUCAGUGAGAAGGAUGCCAACAUCGCCCUGCUGGAGCUGUCAUCGUCCAAGAAGAAGAAGACGCAGGAUGAGGUGGCUCUGCUGAAGAGAGAGAAGGACCGUCUGGUACAACAGCUCAAACAGCAGACUCAGAACCGUAUGAAGCUAAUGGCAGACAACUAUGGGGACGACCACCUGAAGACCGCCCCCGACCAGACCAAUCACAAACCUUCUCCAGAUCAGGAUGAUGAGGAGGGUAUCUGGGCAUAGCCAACCCUGUGCCCUCCUCCCCUCUCUCUCUCUGCCAAUUUGUUCAGAAGGAUGAUCCCCCCUCUCCUGUCCCUGAGUGAAAAUCGCAGUAAGCUGAAGCUCUACAUCGACCACCUGACUGACCUCUGCCACGACCGAGACCCCAGCAUCCUCAGUGACCUGACCCCGCCCGCCCACUAUCACCACGCCAACUCAGCAGCCUGGGAGGAGGAGCUACACAAGUUGACUCUGGAGCAGUUGGAACUGGAGUUGGAGUUGUGUGAGAAGGAGAGUGGGGAGCUGCAGGAGUAUGCCAAUUCAGUGCUGCAGCAGAUCGCUGACUACUGCCCUGACAUCCUGGAGCAGGUGGUCAACGCGCUGGAGGAGUCCUGCUGACCGCUCACCUUUACAGACCACCUCAUGACCCCGAAUGAGCUUCAGGCAACCUUCCUCCCAUUUAUUCACACAUGAUCAGGGCAGAGGGAAGACUGUACUGCACCCCCACAUGCCCAAUUAUCAUUCCUGGCGAUAUUGACCAGCCUGAGGACAUGAUGAUGAACAGCCACAAAGUGGCCUAAUGGUGGAGGGAUGUAGCGGCCUGCCAGUCAUGGGUUGUGUUCAGUAGGGCACGUCAUACCAAAACGUUUUGAAAGAGAAAACAGAGGUAGCACUUUCAAAAUGUUUUCUCUGGAUUCAUCCCUACUGACACAACCAUUGUUUUCUCUUUGAAUCUAAACCAGUGUUUUUUCUGAAUGGUGGAGUGUCGUGGAAUAAAAAUAUUUAGGAACCAGUGAUUUAAACCAAAUUUUUGCUAUUUUAUUUCCUUUGAUUGGCCUUCAGAAUCUCCUAUGUGAGUUACUGGACAACAAACCUUUUCCCUCAACUCCCCACCUAGAUCUAUUGCGAGAAACACCUAGCUGAGUUUUGCUGACUAAAUGUAAGGCUUUAGCUAUGGCUGACGUACUGCGUGUUCUGUGAACGGCUCUUAAGACAGAGGGAAGAAUCCUAACUUGAAUUUCCACACACAUUUCCCAUUGACAUCAAUGUCUAAUUUAUGUGAAACUGAGGUACACUAGCUUCUCGAGUUAGGAGAGAGAGAGAGAGCAGUUGAUUUGAAUGGUUUUGCACACAGCACUCCCUUCUAUAUGAGGUAUGCAAUGUUAGUUUAUUUUCAGUCAUAGCCAGCAUCCCAAAUGAUACCCAAUUCCCCACAUUGUAUACUUAUUUUGUCAAAAGUAGUGCACUAAACAGAAUAGGGUGUCAUUUGGGAUGCUACCAUAGAGUGGCCUUUGAGCGUGCACAGGGAUCAGUACUGGACCUAAAUGAGGGACCUUUUUUAUUCCUCAGUUCUAUUGGUGCUACAGCAUGGCAUAAGACAUCAAUAAAGAUCUAAUCCACCAGUCACAUGAUCUCAUCCAAAGUUUCUAUAGAUAUGACUUUUAAACUAGAAUUCAUUUUUUUUAUUGAAUUACAUUCCCUUAGAUGUAAAUGUUGCCCGUUCACUGCGUCUGUCCAACGCUUCAGAGCUAACUAUGGUUCUUAAUGUAAUGAGAUUAUAGGGAAUCCUAGUUAAAAAGACAUGAAGGUCACUUCUCAGUGGGUUUGAACUUUUUAAAAUCAGUUUGUAAAUAACUCAUCAAAUACGUACAGUGACUAUAUAAAGGUAACCCAGUGGAAGAUGUUGUGAAUUCUGUUUAAAAUAUAUAUAUAUAUACAAGUGAGAAGCUAAAGCAGUGCAGUCCCGUGUGUCUCAAUUUGUCUGCAGACAAGAUGUAUUUGACAGUACUGCCAUAAGUCGCGAAGUCAUGUUCUAUAUAUACAUAUACAAAGUAUGAUGUUGACCAUAUGGAUAUAUGCAUUGAAAUGUUUGCACAGAAUCGUGAGGAGCAAGUCCCUUUGAACAGUUGUGGAUCGUGUCCUCAGCUAAAACUGGAGAAAUGUGUCAAACUUUUAAUGUGUCAAAUUAACUACAAACAUGUUCAAACCGUGACUGUGUAGAGGGAGACUACUUUUUUUGCAUUUAUUUCUAAAUUGUUCAUUUUUUAUAUACACACCUUUGCCACAUAUGUAAACCUUUUACCCUUAGGUUCCAGUGUUUUGUUUUUUCAUGUCUGAGAUGUGAAUGGGUGUUUGUGGGAAUGACGUGUUCCUCUUAUGUUCUCUCACAUAGUAGUCUGACCCUUUAGGACCGAGUAUUCUCCAAACAUGUUUGUCCUGUGGCCUGAUUAGUGAGAGUUGUACUGUAUAGAACAGACAUCACUCUCUGCCAGUCUGGCAUUUUGUAACUGCUAUAUACAGUGCAUUCCUAUGCCAAUCAGUCAAUGUUUGAACAAUAAUAAAAACCUACAGAUCAGCUUGCUCUCCAGGACCAGAGUUGGAGACUAGGUUACUGUUCAGGUUCUUUUAUCCUGCCUCUUGUCUAUAGGCCCUAUGAUGAUACUAAUUUUGAAUCACAUCCUGGCAAUCCCAGAAGUAUUGACUGACCUGACAAAAUCACGAGGUCAAACCAAAGGGUUCCACUCCUCAGCUUUCACCUAUCCAGGUCGUUAGAAUAUAGUUUGAUUCUAGGAAGGAGGAACAGGGCCUUUGCCUUAAUGUCUGUGGACUCACCAUUCUGUGAUAACUUCAUGUUUUUCAUUUCGGAACAGUGCUUGCUGUUAAAGGGGCUACUACUACCAAAGUCAUGGUUCACUUUUUUUUUUGCGUUUAAAGUUAAUGUACUGCCUUCUGUGUUGAUGAAAACAAGUAAAACUAUGUAAAAAGAAGAGUAUUUGCAUUUUGUAUAUGUAUGUAAAUAAAUAUAUCCUAUCGAU